rnacentral:rRNA from 1 species
CAGCAGCCGCGGUAAUACGAAGGGGGCUAGCGUUGUUCGGAUUUACUGGGCGUAAAGCGCACGUAGGCGGACUUUUAAGUCAGGGGUGAAAUCCCGGGGCUCAACCCCGGAACUGCCUUUGAUACUGGAAGUCUUGAGUAUGGUAGAGGUGAGUGGAAUUCCGAGUGUAGAGGUGAAAUUCGUAGAUAUUCGGAGGAACACCAGUGGCGAAGGCGGCUCACUGGACCAUUACUGACGCUGAGGUGCGAAAGCGUGGGGAGCAAACAGGAUUAGAUACCCCAGUAGUCCCUGUCUCUUAUAC